rnacentral:lncRNA from 1 species
GGAGACGUUCCCCAGCAAGGGCGCCCAGGAGCGCCACCUGCGCCUGCUGCACGCCGCCCAGGUGUUCCCCUGCAAGUACUGCCCAGCCACCUUCUACAGCUCGCCUGGCCUCACGCGGCACAUCAACAAGUGCCACCCGUCAGAGAACAGACAGGUGAUCCUCCUGCAGGUGCCCGUGCGCCCCGCCUGCUAGGGCGCAGCGGCACCCAGGCGCCCAGAACUGUGCCUUCGCUUGGAGACCCGCACAGAGAGCGCGCCCGGGCGCCCCACCCCUGGGGUGAAAGUGUCGUCCCCUCUUCUCUCGGUGUGGACUGAUGGUAACCCCGGUCCUCUCGUGGUGACUCCUCCUGGACCCCGUCUUGCAUUGUGUUCCCCUUCGUGGCGCCGCAGGAGUCCACCUCUUUCUCUCCGAGGGAGGAAAGCUGUACGCGUGUGUCUCGUGGUUGGACGCUUUCCCUCGCCGCAGGACGAAGCGGUUUUUCUUGCUAGUAUUCGCUGUGUUCAUGGUCUAGAAAUGCGGUUUGCUUUCGCCUACGCCUACCAAUCUCCGCUCUCUGUGUAGCGUACGGGUUGUUUUGGGUGAAUCUUGAGGAAUAAAUGCCUUUAUAUUUCACAGGCUGUAAAUCGAACUUCCCCACGAUUAGCUUUAUUAUGGCUUGUGAACUGCUGGAGUCUGGCUUUACCUUUUUGUAUGUGAACAAAUCAAAUUGCUUAAAAAGAGUUUUCUUUUAGUAUAGCCACAAAUGCCUUGAACUGUUGUCUGUCUGGGACGUUUUGGGAGGGAGGGAAGGGAAUUUUCACAAGAUGCUGUAGUAACUGCCUCACCGUCUCACAUAAGGCUUUUUGGUUUGAUCACCUUUACUGAGGUAGGACUAUAUGAGUUCCCUCUAAAUGUAUAUUUUGAUUUAUGAGUAAUUGUUAUUUAUUCUUUAUUUAUUUAUAUUAAUUAUGAAGAUGAAAUUAUUUGAUUACAGUUUUUUGACGAGCUCUUCCUCCCUGCCACUCUUGACAUUUCACUGUGCAUUUUAGAAGAGAGCCUUUUUUUUCUAAAGGGGUCUGCUAAAAGUUUUAACUUUUAUACCUUUCUGAGGGAAUUACAGACAACCUACCAUUUUAUUCUGCUUGGAGGGCCCCAGAGGCCCAUGUACAACUGACAGCUCUUACUUUUAAAUGCAAUCUCUUUUCUACAUACAUUAUUUUCUUAAUUGUUAGCUAUUUAUAGAAAGCUUCAAUAGAACUGUUUCAACUGUAUAAAUAUUUACUAUUCAAAUAAAAUAUUUUCAAACUCAAA